ACUCCUACGGGAGGCAGCAGUGGGGAAUAUUGCACAAUGGGCGCAAGCCUGAUGCAGCCAUGCCGCGUGUAUGAAGAAGGCCUUCGGGUUGUAAAGUACUUUCAGCAGUGAGGAAGGUGGAUAUGUUAAUAGCAUAUUCUAUUUGUACGUUAGCUGCAGAAGAAGCACCGGCUAACUCCGUGCCAGCAGCCGCGGUAAGUACGGAGGGUGCGAGCGUUAAUCGGAAUUACUGGGCGUAAAGCGCAUGCAGGUGGUUUGUUAAGUCAGAUGUGAAAGCCCGGGGCUCAACCUCGGAAUUGCAUUUGAAACUGGCAAACUAGAGUACUGUAGAGGGGGUAGAAUUUCGA
rnacentral:rRNA from 1 species